rnacentral:rRNA from 1 species
ACGGUGUGCAUUUGGUGUGGGAGGAAUUGACCCCUUCCGUGCCGGAGCUAACGCGUUAUAUGCACCGCCUGGGGAGUACGGUCGCAAGACUAAAACUCAAAGAAAUUGACGGGGCCCGCACAAGCGGAGGAGCAUGUGGCUCAAUUCGAUGCAACGCGAAGAACCUUACCAGGACUUGACAUGCAGCUGCACGUCCCGUGAAAGCGGGAUUCCUUCGAGGGUGCUGCACAGGUGCUGCAUGGCUGUCGUCAGUUCGUGCCGUGAGGUGUUGGGUUAAGUCCCGCAACGAACGCAACCCCUGUGUUUAGUUGCUACCAGGUAAUGCUGGGCACUCUAAACAGACUGCCUGUACAAAGCAGGAGGAAGGUGGGGAUGACGUCAAGUCAGUAUGGCCCUUACGUCCUGGGCUGCACACGUGCUACAAUGGCCGGUACAGAGGGAAGCAAGACCGCGAGGUGGAGCAAAUCCCCAAAAACCGGCCUCAGUUCGGAUUGAAGUCUGAAACUCGACUUCAUGAAGCUGGAUUCGCUAGUAAUGGCGCAUCAGCUACGGCGCCGUGAAUACGUUCCCGGGCCUUGUACACACCGCCCGUCACAUCAUGAAAGCCGUCUGCAUCCAAAGUCGCUGAUUCAACCCGCAAGGGGGAUAGGUGCCUAAGGUGUGGGUGGUGAUUGGGAUGAAGUCGUAACAAGGUAAC